UGGGGAAUUUUGGACAAUGGGGGAAACCCUGAUCCAGCCAUGCCGCGUGAGUGAAGAAGGCCUUCGGGUUGUAAAGCUCUUUCAGUCGGAAAGAAAAGGCUCCGGAUAAUACCUGGAGUUGAUGACGGUACCGACAGAAGAAGCACCGGCUAACUACGUGCCAGCAGCCGCGGUAAUACGUAGGGUGCGAGCGUUAAUCGGAAUUACUGGGCGUAAAGCGUGCGCAGGCGGUUGCAUAAGACAGAUGUGAAAUCCCCGGGCUCAACCUGGGAACUGCGUUUGUGACUGUGCGACUGGAGUACGGUAGAGGGGGGUGGAAUUCCUGGUGUAGCAGUGAAAUGCGUAGAUAUCAGGAGGAACAUCGAUGGCGAAGGCAGCCCCCUGGACCUGUACUGACGCU
rnacentral:rRNA from 1 species